rnacentral:rRNA from 1 species
UACGAGGGGUGCAAGCGUUGCUCGGAAUUAUUGGGCGUAAAGGGUAGGUAGGUGGUCUCGUUUGUCUGGGGUGAAAGCCUUGAGCUUAACUCAAGAAGUGCCCUAGAAACGGCGAGACUGGAGUCUUGGAGAGGGUCGUGGAAUUCCCGGUGUAGCGGUGAAAUGCGUAGAGAUCGGGAGGAACACCAGAGGCGAAGGCGGCUACCUGGACCAGCACUGACACUGAGGCACGAAAGCGUGGGGAGCAAACAGG